GGGGUGUGUGUGUGUGUGUGUGUGUGCGUGCGCGCGCGUGUGUUCCUUCUUUCCACUCCUGAUCUCCUCCAUCCACCCCCGCGGCCCCGAGCCAUCUCAGGAAAAUGCCAGACUCUGCCUCCCCUGUACAACUCUGGGGGCGCGCCCACGGACCUCCUUUCCGUCCACGCACCUGCCCGCCGGACGUCCAACCAUUUUGUGGAGCGCAAACCUGAGACCUGGAAGCUCUUCCCCCAUCCCAGAGACUAAGGCCUGGAAAAGAACGUGAUCACGAUACCCUUACCCCACCUUACCGAAUUGAGAAUAAUUCCGCCUGCAGUGACUGAUGGAGCAGGAACAAGGCACUGCGGAUCUAGCAAGGGCCAGACACUCCUUACCGGUCCCAGGCCCCUGGAAAACUGUGAUUGAAGCCUGUCCUUCCAGGAAAAUGCGCCCACAGGAUUCCGGGGGUUUGAUCUCACUUCUCACCGGCCGCCUGAACCCAAGCACGGGUUACAAACUACAGAGCUGGGCUGAAGUGUUCCUUGCAACCCCCUGGAGCCCCGUAGAUGGGAUUCUGAGGGUUCUGCUGGGUUCCCCUCUUGUUUGCUGAGAGUUCUGGGGCCCAAGGACAGCAAGGGAGUCACGACUCGGUUGGGGGCCUUUUCCCCCCUGGGAGAAGCCUCAGUAUUUAAGUCCUAUGCAAGUGCGGCAUGGAAGUGGGUUCUCAGCUGUCGCUCAGGAGAGCGUCUUUCGAGGAUGAAGAGACCUGAGUUGUGCCAAGGGCGUCUAAACACUUGGCUGAUCUAACCUCCCCGGUGGCAAAGCCGGAGUCCGCCCCUGGGUGCCGGGCUUUGCGGGGAGGGGUUGUUAAGCAGUAGGCACAUCGGAGCAGUCAGGGUGCACGUUCUGGACUCUGCCCGGCUUUGAAGUCAGUACCUCUUGCUAGCCUUGUGACCUCGGGCAAAUUACUGGACGUCUCUGGGCCUGUUUUCUUAUUGGGAAAAAAAAAAUAGGGCCGUCCUUCAGACCUGCCUCGUUGGGCUGCCGGAAGUGGGGGGCGUUUACGCAGGUUCAGUGCCUGGUUCAGAAGGGUUGAAAAGGUGCUCAGAGCAUUCGUGCUGCCUUGUGCCCUCUAAGUGGGAGAGCCGGUGACUGAGACCCAGAAGGACCUCUGCUGCCCCGAAGAAUACACGGCCGUGGGGCGCCUGGGUGGCUCAGCCGGUUAAGCAUCCAGUUCUUGAUUUCAGCUCAGGUCAUGGCCUCACAGUUUGUGGGGUCAAGCCCCAUGUCAGGCUCUAUGCUGAGUGUGGAGUCUGCUUGGGAUUCUCUCUCUCUCCCCACCUCCCUCUCUCAAAAUAAAUAAACUUUGCCACAAAGGAUUCACAGCCACAACUGAAGCCGACAGAAAGGGCCCACGGCUGCUUUCCGGGGCAGCAGAAGCACCUGUGACAAAGUGGCUCUUCUCUUGAUUACUGGCAGGCCUCGGCGGAGUUCCUGAACACUGCGGGUUUCCCUAGGGACCUGGGUCCAGGAAAUGAUCUCUGAGAUGCCAAAGGGGCGCGUGCAGUCUCACUCCGCCCACCCUGGUCAGACUGGUCUUGGUCAGUGGAACCUGACGUGCCCUCUCCUGCUUCUCCAAGCCUUACUUUCUCUGUGAAGUCUGACGACCUCAGGCAGCAGAAAAUCUCUCCCAUCUGAGCUCUUGGGCCUGUCCUGCGUAAGUGAUUCACGCGGUCAGUUGCUAUGCCUGUUGCGUGGGUCUGCCUCGACGGCAGAUGUGUUGAGAGCAGAGACUGUCAUCAACUGCCCCAGCACUGCCCAUUAAAUACCCUGUUCCUUGCCCAACCCAGCAUCGGAGCAAAGAAUGCUUCCUGUAAUGUAUGCAGAUUAUCGUUCUCCCAAGAGGGUUCCACCCAGGCCAGUAUUUCCAUGUCCCGUGGCCAGCCCAGCAACUAGCCGAGUAGCUCAAAUCUGCUCACCUGCCAGCCCUGCCCCAGGGCAGGGCUGGGUCUGAGGAUGAAGGGGCGUGUCCCUGGGCUGGGGCAUCCCAGUCACCCUGAUUAUGACACUCUGAUUCCUAAUCUUCAUCUCCUGCUUGCUCUAGAAUCUCGGUCCUGACCUGGAGAGCAUUGUCUGCUUCCCUGGUGUGGCUCUGGAUUUCGGUGACCGUUUUCUGGAGAGAACCAACCUUUUGCUUCUCUCUGUAUCUUCCCCCAUCUCUGCACCCCUCCCCUUCCCUCACUUACAAAUCUCUUCCUUUCCUAGCUCGUAAUAUGGAUCGUAUUGAUUUCUCCUUUUCUUUUUCUUUGUUAAUUUCAUUUACUUAUUUUGAGAGGGAGUGAGAGAGCACAAGCUGGGGAGGGGCAGAGAGAGGGAGAGAGAGAUUCCCCAGCAGGUUCCGCACCGUCAGCGCAGAGCCCCACAUGGGGCUUGAUCUCACAAACCGUGAGAUCAUGAACUGAGCUGAAAUCAAGAGUUAGAGGCUUCACGAACUGAGCCACCCAUACUUGGCCUGCAUCAAUUAGGGAGAAGGUAGGUGAGGAGAAUCUGGACUGAAGUUUACAUAGAAUGAUACGAACAGAUAAAAGGUAGAGUCUAGUUGUGCUCAGGGGAGAUGUGUUCCCGUGGAGGUCUUCUUACAGAAUGUAGAAUAUUUUAGGGAUACUCAGACCUGGUGGGUCUUCUUGGGAAUAAAUUUACCCGAGAGCCCUCGGGUUAACACAGAACCCAACAAAGAAUAUUAUUGCCAUCCGUUUGGUCUUUGUGGACAAUCUGACACUCUGUGCCAGCUCUAAGAAAAAGCUCUAUAAACUAUUAAAAUGACAAAGAACUUCAGUCCUGCUAAAGAAAUAGAGUUUGGCUUAGCUAAAUGGAACACCAGACAAAUGCGAAGGACGGCUUGGGGUGAUGAAUGGAUUCACGGCAAUAAAGAUGAACUUAUAGAAGAUUAAUAGAAGGAGAGAUGGAUAAUAUCGGGGCUUCCAGCUGUUGAUGAAUGCUAAACUUAUUGACAUUGAAGAUAAGCCUAGAUAAAAGGCAUUCAGUCCAAAUGGAGAGAGAAUGCUUCAAAAGAAGCCUAAUGCUCGCAACUAAAUUAAGGCAGUAAAUAUAUCUGUGGUUCCAGCCCAUUUGUUAUGAUAGAGACUACAGAUCAUUAUAAUGAGAGGCAGAUUAUUAACCACAAAGGGCCCUGUGCAUCACAGGGAAUUUGAGCCACUCGCUCCCCCACGUCCCAGAAAAUCCACUUGGUCGAGAAGGAAGCCUUCUUCAUACACUAGUUGGAAACUAAGAUGAUUGAGAACGUCACGUGGGGGUGGUUUUAAACCCUCAAGAGGUGCGGUCUGUGUCCCCUCCCACCCAGUCUGGUUGGGCUUGGUUCUGCUUCGCCAACAGGGCAAGGCGGAGGAGUCCAUAUAGGUGAUCUUCUGGGGGCAGAUCAUCAAAGGCAUGCAGUUUCCUUCCGGCUCCGUUGGAAGGCUUGCCCUCCGGUGCUCCCUCUUGGGGUAGGCCUACCCAGAGCUUCCAGAUGAUGCCGGUGCAUAUCCAAGAGCAAACAAAAAUACGCCAGGUGACUUAGGAGGUUUUGCCUGCAAAGGGUUUACAGUCUCAGCAGAGAUCAGCGGGAUAUAAGCUGGACCAGAAGGUUGGGGUCUCACUGAAUUCCGGGCUGUACUCUGCCCUUCCUGGCUACGUGGGAAAGUGGUCGUCUCUGUGCCCGGUGUCCCUCCCCCCGUAAAGUCAAACAGUUGUGAAGAGUGAAUACACAUGAGGCAUUUAGAACAUGGUGAGUAUCCCAUAGAUGGCAGCCGUUGUUAAGGUUAUCGUGUCCCGGGACACACUCUGUGACGCAAAGCAGAGAAAGGGCUCCCGGACCUGCUCACAUCAUCAGGUGAUUUCUUUUUCAAGAAAAGCAGAUGUGUAUAAUGGAUUUGAUUAAUAGGCCCUAUAGUUUUAUAACCAAUUCACAGCCGCUUCCUUUAAAUCAGGGCUUUACAAUCUUUUUUGGACUAUGACCCACGCUAAGAAAUACAUUUCCCGUUGUGACCUGAUACACACAAGAAUCCCCCCCCCCCCAUCAAAGCAUAUAAACAUCUUCACUGGGCAACACACUCUGGUAUUUUCGAUUCUGUCCUAUUUCAUUUUUCAAAAUCUACUAAGUCGAUCCCCUAGCCCAUUAAAUGGGUCAAAAUCUACAACUUGAAAAGCGGUGCCUUCUGUAAACGACUUUUACAUGGCUUCCUCGCCCUAACCUUUUCACUGUUUUUCGCUUUGUCGCCCAGCUCUUCACUUUCUGGAAGUCUCGCUUGUCCAGGACGACCGGUCUACUGCCUCCCCGGCCUGAUGGGUGGCCACGAUGAAGCCGGACCCACCGGUCCCGGCACAGAAUGUAGCACGUGCCGGACAAGGAUUUUUGAACUGAGUUUAGAACAGGGAUUCUAACUCUGUUUUUCUGCUCAGGUUUUAAGUGGGCUAAGCACUUAGUUCUCAGAUGAUUUCUAGGUUGCUGGUAACGCACUGUAAGUGUCAGGGAGAAGAGACUUGGCUGGCAGCCCUUUCUCAGAUGUUCCAAGCAAACAUGCACACGGUUCUCAAACCUUAGCCUGGUCUCAAUGCCCAUCUUCCCUGAAAGCUGUUUUCGCUUUAUAACCACAGGACGUUUCAAAUCAAAUUCCAGAAAAUGCCUCGCAAUUAAAAUUUUACACUGCCUGUC